rnacentral:tRNA from 1 species
GGGCCGGUGGUCUAGUCUGGUUAGGACGGCGCUCUCACACGGCGCAACGCGGCGGUCCGAAUCCGCCUCGGCCCA